UACGUAGGGUGCGAGCGUUAAUCGGAAUUACUGGGCGUAAAGCGUGCGCAGGCGGUUCGGUAAGUCGGAUGUGAAAUCUCCACGCUCAACGUGGAGGGGCCGUUCGAUACUGUCGUGACUCGAGUCCGGUAGGGGAGUGUGGAAUUCCCGGUGUAGCGGUGAAAUGCGCAGAGAUCGGGAGGAACACCCGUAGCGAAGGCGGCACUCUGGGCCGGUACUGACGCUGAGGAGCGAAAGCGUGGGGAGCAAACAGG
rnacentral:rRNA from 1 species